AAGUUAGUGGACUUUGUCAUCCAUUUUAUGGAGGAGAUCGAUAAGAAAAUCAGUGAAAUGAAACUGUCUGUCAAUGCCAGGGCUCACAUAGUUGCAGAGGAGUUCCUCAAAAAUUUUUAGGAAAUUUUCAGCACACCUUCUGCAAUACCUGUGUCACCUUGGUCACCAAAAAAACGAUGGAGAGCUGUGGGGCCACUGAGGAAGUAGUUAAGGUGCGAUUUGAUUCCUGGACCACCAGCGAAGGUGGACCAGCUGGAUCCAGAGGGUGCCGUCAGUCACGGAAUGAAUUCAGAGUAUUGCAGUUUUGUCACUUGAGAGCAAAGUAAUGGUUUUCACAGACAGGCACGGUACUUCUUUUGUCGUCUGUUUUAUUCUUUGACUUCUUUGCCUCUAUAUCUUUUUUUUUUUUUUUUUUUUUUUUUUACUUUUUGCUAAUGGCCUAAUUUUUUCUGCAGUUCCAUUUGUGUAUUCUGUCUCUCUUCAUCUUAUCCCAAAUCCUGUUAUUAUUUAGUAGUAGUAAAGCACUCACAACGUUGCAAUAUUCUGAAUAUGCCUCAGCUUUCCCUCAUGCUUAUGAAUAUUAAUGAGUAUGUUCUGUACAUAUUAAAAGGAUAGACUCAUUUUACCUCUGCCUUUCUAACAAACCUUAAAAUCAGGGUGGGUCUAUAUAAAUGAAACUCAUUGAUACUCAUGAGCACAGAGGAAAAAUGUUCAGUGUCCAAUAAUUUAAACGGUUUGUUUUGUCAAUGUUUUUUAUAAAUAUGUAUACUGUGUUCAAAUGAUCAUUUUUCAUGUUGAGUUUUGAUAUUAAAAAAACCUCACGCUGGUGCACAUGGAUCUUAAAAUCAUAUCAGUCAUGGCAAAAUAAUGAUGACAAUGCUAAAUAAAUCCCUUUAUUGCU